AGAGGAUGGCCGAGCGGUUUAAGGCACCGGUCUUGAGAACCGGCGACCGGUCAAACCGUCCGUGGGUUCGAAUCCCCCCUCUUCCGCCA
rnacentral:tRNA from 1 species